rnacentral:rRNA from 1 species
UGGGUUAGUGGCGGACGGGUGAGUAACGCGUGGGUAACCUGCCUUACACAGGGGGAUAACACUUAGAAAUAGGUGCUAAAAACCGCAUAAGCGCACAGCUUCGCAUGAAGCGGUGUGAAAAACUCCGGUGGUGUAAGAUGGACCCGCGUCUGAUUAGCUUGUUGGCGGGGUAACGGCCCACCAAGGCGACGAUCAGUAGCCGGCCUGAGAGGGUGAACGGCCACAUUGGGACUGAGACACGGCCCAAACUCCUACGGAAGGCAGCAG